rnacentral:rRNA from 1 species
CAGUAGCCACGGUAAUACGUAGGGUGCGAGCGUUAAUCGGAAUUACUGGGCGUAAAGCGUGCGCAGGCGGUUCGUUAAGACAGAUGUGAAAUCCCCGGGCUUAACCUGGGAACUGCAUUUGUGACUGGCGAGCUAGAAUAUGGCAGAGGGGGGUAGAAUUCCACGUGUAGCAGUGAAAUGCGUAGAGAUGUGGAGGAAUACCGAUGGCGAAGGCAGCCCCCUGGGCCAAUACUGACGCUCAUGCACGAAAGCGUGGGGAGCAAACAGGAUUAGAUACCCGUUAGUCCCUGUCUCUUAACAC